CCCGGGGGCCUCCGCCAGAGGGAGCUCUGAGAAGGGUCCAUUGCUGGGCUACUGACCAUCGCAAAGGGAAUUCUGAGAUGGUUAUAAGAAACAAGUGCCUAGGGAGGGAAGGAAGACUCCAAUCCCAGGUUUUCUCCAUGCUAUGAGU